GGGGAGGGGAUGGGGCGGGAGCCUCUGGAACACAUGUGCUAACUUAGGCCGCCUUUGUCUACACAACAAACACAAAAGCUGGGCUCUCGGCAGCGAGGAGAAUUCCAGCUCCCGAAACGGUGACCUCAAGACUCAUUCCGCGGAUGGCGAAUAGCUUAAUAUCACCUGGGGAGAGCAUACAUCCCACAUCAACCGGAGGCAAGAGAGGACAUUGCUUGGAAGGUCCCGUUUGGUUUGUGUAGCAACUGUCUUCAGAAGGCCCAGGAGAAGACAAGAACAGCCACCCACAGAGGACAGCUUGGUAAAUGGUCACUCACUCUGGAUGAAGCUAUGUUGUGAGCAGCCCUAUGGAGAGGCCCCUAAGGCAAGGAACUGAGGUCUCUUGCCCACAGCUGUGUGAGGCUGUCAUCUUGGAAGUGGACCCUUCAGCCCUGGCCAAGCUUUCAGAGUCGGCAGCCCCAGCAGACAGUCUGACUGUGACCUCAUGAGAGACCCUGAGCUGGAACCAUCCAGCUGAGCCGGUCCUAGAUUCCUCACCCAGAGACACUGUGAGAUAAUAAAUGUAUGUUGCUGUAAGCCAGUAAA